CGCGCCCCACCCCGAGCAGCUCUGCGAGCUGGAGAUCCGGAUCAAGGAGCUGGAGCUGCUCACCAUCACCGGCGACGGCUUCGACUCCCGGCGCUAUCAACUCCUAAAGGCACUAAAAGAGGAGACGCUACAGGGACUGAAGACCAGGCCCACUGGCAGGAAGCCGGCCCCCGCCUCCUGAGAGCUGCCAGUCGGCUGCACCGCCCUCCCGGGUCUUGGUGCUUGGAUGCUAUGUCUGUUGUCAGUUCAAAGAUCGUUAUUUUCUGUUCUGCA